rnacentral:tRNA from 1 species
GUCCCCAUAGCUCAGCUGGAUAGAGCAUCCCCCUCCUAAGGGGAAGGCCGUAGGUUCGACUCCUACUGGGGACGCCA